UUAGAGUUUGAUCCUGGCUCAGGAUGAACGCUAGCGGCAGGCUUAAUAUAUGCAAGUCGAACGGUAACAGGCCCAGCAAUGGGUGCUGACGAGUGGCGCACGGGUGCGUAACACGUAUGCAACCUACCCUUUACUGGGGAAUAACCCCGCGAAAGCGGGGCUAAUACCCCAUAGUAUUGUUUAAUGGCAUCAUUGAACACUUAAAGAUUUAUUGGUAAAGGAUGGGCAUGCGUCCCAUUAGUUAGUUGGUAAGGUAACGGCUUACCAAGACGAUGAUGGGUAGGGGUUCUGAGAGGAUUAUCCCCCACACUGGUACUGAGACACGGACCAGACUCCUACGGGAGGCAGCAGUAAGGAAUAUUGGGCAAUGGGCGGUAGCCUGACCCAGCCAUGCCGCGUGCAGGAAGACGGCCUUAUGGGUUGUAAACUGCUUUUAUAUGGGACUAACCUACUCUACGUGUAGAGUACUGCAUGUACCAUAAGAAUAAGCAUCGGCUAACUCCGUGCCAGCAGCCGCGGUAAUACGGAGGAUGCAAGCGUUAUCCGGAAUCAUUGGGUUUAAAGGGUGCGUAGGCGGACUAGUAAGUCAGUGGUGAAAUCUCCGGGCUCAACCUGGAGUCUGCCAUUGAUACUGUUAGUCUAGAGU
rnacentral:rRNA from 1 species